CAGUAGCCGCGGGAAUACAGAGGGUGCAAGCGUUAAUCGGAAUUACUGGGCGUAAAGCGCGCGUAGGUGGUUUGUUAAGUUGAAUGUGAAAUCCCCGGGCUCAACCUGGGAACUGCAUCCAAAACUGGCAAGCUAGAGUAGGGCAGAGGGUGGUGGAAUUUCCUGUGUAGCGGUGAAAUGCGUAGAUAUAGGAAGGAACACCAGUGGCGAAGGCGACCACCUGGGCUCAUACUGACACUGAGGUGCGAAAGCGUGGGGAGCAAACAGGAUUAGAUACCCGCGUAGUCCCUGUCUCUUAUAC
rnacentral:rRNA from 1 species